UUUUUCGCAAAAGAAGAUAUGGAAGAGCUUGUGAAGAGGUUUAUGGAUCUUGAAAGCCAAGAGGGAAAGAAAAUUAGAGAUAGAGCAAGAGAACUUAGGAUUAUGUGUGGUAAGGCUAUUUGUAAAGGUGGAUCCUCAGAUAGGAACCUCGACGCAUUUAUCAGUGACAUUUCUUCUUGAAGGUUAUUGAUACCGAUUUCGAUUCCUACCGAUAUUUUUUUUCUUCUUCAAGGUCACUGAUGUGUCAAGUAGAUUUGGCUACACAAAAAAGAAAUGAACUAAUGGAGUGAAGGAUAUUGUAAUUGUUUGUAAGAAUGUAUUUAGACAAGUAACAUUGUAAAAUGUCAUAAAACUGUGACUGAAAUGCUCUUUGAUGGAUGAAUUUGUACUCAUACAUUCAGCAAAUUGAUCAUAUCAGAAAAAUGCAGUGUAUCUUCUCAUCAAUGUUUAAUACAAGGGAUACAUUUGUUUUAGAAGUAUAUAGUUGCAUAAUUCGCGAAGAUAAUGCUUUGAAUUACAGACUUUGUCGAUGGGCACAUUCGUACUUAGGAGAAACAUGAUCAAUGGAUGAGGUCAUGCAUUUUCAAAGUCAUAUCUCAUAGUGUGUUCGAAAAUAUUGUCCACGGACUUACAAUUUCAUGCCAUUAACCACACUCAGUUAUUUCAUACAUGAAAUUAGAAGUUCCCUCAAAACCAAAAACAAGAAUACUACGACUCAAAUUUUCGUCAAUAUCAAACAUCCAUUUCUCUCUCAAAAUUGCAAUGGAAUCACCACCAACUUCCUUCAACCAUAUACUGGCCAUGCCUUACCCUUCAAGAGGACACAUCAACCCCAUGCUAAGCUUCUGCAAAAUCCUAACAUCCCAAAAACCCAACAAAAUUCUCAUCACCGAGGAGUGGCUCACCAUUAUCGGCGCCGAUCCAAAGCCAGAAUCCAUCCGCUUCACCACCAUUCCUAACGUGAUCCCACCGGAGCGGGAGAAAGCAGCCAAUUUUCCUGGAUUAUAUGAAGCUGUCAUGACGAAGAUGGAAGCUCCUUUUGAGUAGCUUCUUGAUCAGCUUGAGUUUCCGGUGAAUGUGAUCGUUGGUGAUGUUGAGCUGUGAUGGCCUGUUGAUGUUGGUCAUCAGAGGAAUGUUCCGGUAUCGGCGUUUUGGACUAUGUCUGCAACGUUUUAUUCAAUGUUGCAUCAUCUUGAUGUGUUUUCAAGAAACCAUCACUUAACUGUUGAUAAACUAAGUAAUUUCUAAUUACUCAUUUGUUACUGCUGUGAUUAAUUUUAGUUCAUAGUUUAUUUCAUUAUUUAAUUUAAGGAGAGAAAAAACUACUUAUGAAUGUUUAUUAGCUGUUUCAGCUUAUUUCCAUACACUCUCCAAGAUAGCCUAUGCCUAUGUAAUUCUUAUUCGUAAGCGUUGAUAUGAUAAGCAUUGAUCCUCUAAGCCUGCAAUAUAAGUUGUUUAUCCAAAUAGGGCAUUAGUAUUAUUGUGUUGAUGCUCAGUUUAAGGUACAUUAUCCUUCAUUUUGUCCCCCUCUUUUUUCAUAGAUAAAAAAAUUUAGGUUAUUUGUAAACUUGUCAAGUUUAAAGCAGGUAGUUUUCAAAACGUGAUGUGAAACUACUUACUGCAUUGGUCAAGGACUACCAACAAUCUAGAAUAGCCACGCAAUUAUAAAUGGAAAAUUUGAAAUUUAGCAGGAAAGUUUUUAGCAAUAAGUACGAAUGUGGCUCGCGGGGAAACAUUGCGGUUGAAAGACAAGUGUGGAGAAUUCAAGGUAGAAAUCAUCAAAGUUGGAGAGUGAUGUGAUUUUUGCAAAAGAAGAUAUAGAAGAAUUGGUUAAGAGGUUUAUGAAUCUUGAAAGCCAAGAGGGAAAGAAAAUUAGAGAUAGAGCGAAAGAACCGAAGGUUGUGUGCUGUAAAGCGAUUGGUAAAGGCGGAUUUUCAGAUAGGAACCUUGACGCAUUUAUCAGUGACAUUUCAUAUUUCAUCUUGAAUGUCACUGAUAUCACUGGAGUCUAGCGCAAGUGAUUGGUGCAUAGUGUGUGUUAUAAACCAUAUGGUACCAAUUUUGAUUUCCACUAAUAAAAUAAAAUUCAAGGUCUCUGACGUGUUGAGUAGGUUUGGUUUAGUUACACAAAUAAGCAAUGCAAUAAUGGAAUGAAGGGUAUUGUAAUUGAAUGUGUAACCGAAUUGCUGUUUGAUAGAUGACUUUGUACUUUGAUCAUUUAAGAAAACUGCAGCAUGUACCAUAUGUGUAAUAACUCAUCAAUGUAGAAUAGUAGGGGAAGCAACCAAGUUGCCUGGGUUUUAGUGGCAAGGAGCUCCUUCCAAGGACGUACAUGGGGAAUACCAGGUUCGAUUCCCAGGGGGAACAACACUUGGCCAGGGCGCAUGCCUCUACGCACGAGCCGGAUUAGUCGCUCAUCUUUGGUGGAUAAGAAUUUUUUUUUUUGUUACUAGUUUAUGAUAUAUGUGAACAACUCAUCGAUCCAAUACAACAAUUUUUAAAGCAUUUUCUUUGUUGUUUUAUACAACUCUUAUCUCUAGAUCUAGCAUUAGAUACUACCAUUGACUAAUCACAUCAAACCACAAACAACUCAUCUUAUCUCUCAGUAGCCAUUCUCCGGCAAUGAAUUUCUCCGGCGACGACAUGUGCCACGUUAUGGCGAUGCCAUUUCCAGGAAGAGGACACAUCAACCCCAUGCUAAGCUUAUGCAAAUUCCUAAUCUCACGAAAACCCAACAACAUUCUUAUCACUUUUGUAGUCACUGAAGAAUGGCUUGGCUUUAUCGGCAAUGAUCCAAAGCCGGAAUCCAUCCGCUUCGCCACCAUACCCAACGUGGCUCCACCGGAGCAGGAGAAAACUAUAGAUAAUUUUCAUCUGUUUUAUGAAGCUGCCAUGACGAAGAUGGAAGCGCCGUUUGAACAGCUUCUUGAUCAACUUGAGUUGCCGGUGAAUGUGAUUGUUGGUGAUGUUGAACUGCGGUGGCCUGUUGACGUUGGUAAUCGGAGGAAUAUUCCGGUGGCAUCUCUUUGGACUAUGUCCGCAUCAUUUUACUCCAUGUUGCAUCAUCUUGAGGUCUUUUCACGUCAUCAACACUUAACUCAUGAUAAGCUGGGUAAGCAAUAGGAAUGUAGUAAAAAAGUGACAUUCAUGUAGUUGUUUUGGCUCAACCAUGGUUGUUGGAUUGAGAUCCGAGACUAUUCCAAUUUUAAAUACAAAAUAUUGACUUUGAAACGUCUGAUCUCGAUCCAAUAACUACACUUGUACUAAUUGCAUGAAAUUUACGAUUGUGGUCAAUCUGUCCUGCUAGUUAAUUAAUCAUUUGUUAGAUCUAUGCUUAAUUUUAGUUACAACUUUAUUUAUAUUUGAAGAAGAAAAAAACAUAAAUUUAAAUAAUAUGCAUCACCUGCAAUCUCGUAACUAUGGGUGUUCACGGGUAGGCAUGGCAAUGGGGCGGGGUGGGGACGGGUUUUACCUUCUCCGUCCUCAUACCCGAUUCUCAUAUAUUUACCUGUUACCUUACCUAUAUUCAACGGGAUGAGAAAUUGAAUCUCAUCCCCGUCCCCGACGGAUUCGGGUAUCCCUGCCCCAUCUCCGUCCCCGCAUUGAAUAAUUUUUUUAAUAAAAAAUAGAAGUUUUUUUGCAUCCCCAAGAACAACGUAGUAAUACAUUAUUCAACAAUACGCUCACUUUAACAUUGUUAGACGGAAUGAUUUAUUUGAUCCUUUAAAUAUCAACGGUAGUUUUUAUUAACAUGACAAUUAUCAAACAAAAUAACAUGGCAUAUCAACUUAAAGUAAUUUUUUACAUUUGGGACGGGUUUGGGUGUGUGUUCGGGGUGGGUACCUAUAUACCCGUUACCUGUCCCAUACUCGUGUUUUAAAAUCGGAGAAAACCCAUACUCAUACCCAAACCCAGUCAAAACGGGAAAAUCCGUCAAAUUGGGUUUGGUUCGGACGGAUAACCGUAGAUAUGGGUUUUGUUGCCAUGCCUAUUCAUGGGUCUAGGUGAUCCGUUCAAUCCAACCCAAAUAUUACCAAAUUUAUUCAAGUUUGGAUACAAUAUGAACAAACUCGUUCAAACCUGAGUUGUUUGGAAGUUUACGAGUUUGUCUGACUAGUGAAUAUCCCUACUCAUAAUGUUAUAGUUAAAAAUGUUUAACUUAAGUCAUAUGAUUUGUGAUUUUAGUUUUUGUUCACAGCAUACAAAAUUUUAAGUUGACCGUGGAUUAGAAUUAUUUUCAAAAAAUGUUCUAUGCUCAUUUUAAAAUUCUAUAAUUAUUCCAAUAUAUAGUUACUUUGACGUAAUGGAUUGGUACGAUAAAUAAGUGUGGUUAGGGGUUUCUUGAUUAGAGGAGACAACCCACUUUAUAUAUUGCUAAUCGCUAUUAUCUAACAAGUUUUCUACAAAGAUUAAAAGGUAAAACAUCAAUAAUAGUGUUUUGAUCCAGAGGUGAUCUAGAUCGUAGGUCGGAGUGGUGGAAGCACGAUAGAGGCAGAACCUCAGAGCGAGGCUGAGGGGUGUACUUGCAAUCACUAUCAAGUUAGUUUGUGAUUGGGAGUGUAAGGUUUUAGAGUUUAGAGAACGUGUAUCUUUAACUUGGAUCAAAUGUGUUUAUUUAUAUUAUUAUGAAAUCAGAAAAAUAGUGUAUUAUUGCAUAAUGGACCAUGGUUCAAUAGUUACAAGCUUAUUUAUAGGUAGCUGAGCAUGCACAAUAGGUUACAGUGGGAAUGCAUCAGGUUAUUAUAAAGGAAACUAAGCUAAGCUAUGUUACUUGGAACCUAAGUUAUCCUUAUUAGUGAUAUCAUGUAAUAUCCUCCCACAAGUUAGAGGUUGGUACGAAUCCAGCAACCCUAACUUGGAUAGAAGAGUGUUGAAAGGCUGAGGAAGCAAGGAUUUUGUGAAGAAAUCAGCAAUUUGAUCUUGAGAAGAAACAGGGAUAAGCUUCAUGAUGCCAACUUGAAGUUUUUCUCUCACCAGAUGACAAUCAAUCUCCAAAUGCUUUGUGCGUUCAUGAAAAACUGGAUUAACAGCUAUACAGAGGGCACUUUGAUUAUCACAAAAAAGGACAGGAAGCUUAGAGCAUUGAAUGUUGAGAUCCUUGAGCAAGUAGAGAAGCCAUUGAAGCUCACAAGUAGUGAAGCUAGAGCCUGAUACUCAACUUCAGAUGAGGACCUGGAAACAGUGAUUUGCUUCUUUGUCCUCCAAAAAAUCAAAGAGUGACCGGCUCUGAUACCAUAUUAUGAAAUCAGGAAAAUAGUGUAUUAUUGCAUAAUGAUUCAAUAGUUACAUGCUUAUUUAUAGGUAGUUGAGCAUGCACAAUAGGUCACGGUGGGAAUGCAUCACAGACAAAUUCCCACUGUAUAUUACACAUUUUUAGGGUUUUCUAGGUGGAACCUACCAAACCCUUUGGGUUGUUCUCGGCGUGAUAUGUGGAUCAUCGUUUGAUUGUCAUCAUGUGGCAUUGAUGGAAUCAGCGGAUUCACUUGGGUGUACUCUUAGGGAUUCUCAUAGCAUACUCCGUAGUCACUCGAGAUAUUAGCGAAUUUGGCUUGAAUCCAAUUAGAAAUGUUAAAUAUAUAAUACAUAGGAAAAAAAUAUUAUUGUGUUAGUGUUCAUUAUAAGCUAUAGGGUUCUAACUUUCAAACAAUUUUUUUUUCAAGAACAAAAUGGGGAAUAGAAAUUUAUUAUUAAUAAAAGUAACAAAUGAUUAUUUUACAACCCUGUGUGAGGAUAUUUUAAUAUUGUUUCUUAAGAUUAUAAAAUCGAGUUCUUAAUACUGAGGUGGAACCUCACAGACAAAUUUCAAAUAAUUAUUUAUAUUAAACUAGUAAUAAAUAUAGUUACUUCAUUUUUUUUUCCUUAGAAAAGGGGUAAGGAAAAUUUCUCUAAGUUAUGUAAGCUACUAAGCAUGUCAACUGUCAAGUUUAAGGCAUAUGUAAUUUCAAAUACCUUAAUCAUGCAUUAUGGUAACCAAUAUUUGUGUUAAAUUGUAUUUGAGCUAUAUAAAGCUUAACGAUUCAUUCCAAUUCUUUCUCUUGCUAAUUUUCAGAACUAGAUGUUAAACUACUUACUAUAUUGAUAAAAAAACUACUAACCAUCUAAAUAAAAUAGCCACAGAAUGAAUAGUAAAUUUAGAAUUUAGCAUGGAAAUAUUUUAUCAAUGAGCUGUCACAAGGAUAUUAGUCUUGACAUAUUUAAUAUGGAGUGAUACUUUUAUUUAUUGCAUAUAUAUCAUUAUCUGCUAAAAAUUAAUGCAAUUGUACAUGACUGCUUAUCUAAUCUGUGCAGAGAAUAUCCCUGGAAUUUCGUCUCUUCAUAUAGAAGACCUUCGAACUGUUGUUCGCGGAGACGAUCCUCAAAAUAUACAGCUCUCAUUGGAAUGCAUUUCCAAGGUUACCAAAGCAAAUUACCUUCUUCUCACAACAGUGCAAGAGUUAGAAGCUGAAACAAUUGAUACCCUUAAAUCUAUAUUCCCCUUUCCAAUCUAUCCUAUUGGUCCUGCAGUACCUUAUUUAGAUCUUGAAGAAAAAAAAACGAAAAACACUGACCAUAGCCACGACUAUAUAAAAUGGCUAGAUUCUCAACCAUCUGAAUCCGUAUUAUACAUUUCUUUUGGCAGUUUCUGUUCCACGUCUAGGGCCCAAAUGGACGAAAUCAUUGAAGCACUUAACAGUAGUGAAAUUCGAUACCUUUAUGUGGCCCACAGGGAAACAUCGAGGUUGAAAGACAAGUGUGGAGAUAAGGGAAUGGUGAUACCUUGGUGUGAUCAACUCAAGGUGUUGUCUCAUUCUUCUAUAGGUGGAUUUUGGAGUCAUUGUGGAUGGAAUUCAACUUUGGAUGCUGUUUUUUCUGGUGUACCAAUUUUGACAUUCCCUCUUGCCCAUGAUCAACACCCUAAUAGCACUCAAAUUGUUGAUGAAUGGAAAAAUGGGUGGAAGGUAGAAAAAUCAUCGAAGUUGGAGAGUGAUGUGGUUUUUGCAAAAGAAGAUAUGGAAGAGCUUGUUAAGAGGUUUAUGGAUCUUGAAAGCCAAGAGGGAAAGAAAAUUAGAGAUAGAGCAAGAGAACUUAAGGUUACGUGUCGUAAAGCUAUUGGUAAAGGUGGAUCCUCAGAUAGGAACCUCAACGAAUUUAUCAGUGACAUUUCUUCUUGACGCGUUAUUGAUACCACCAGAUUCUAGACUUCUCGUGCAAGUGGUUAAUGUGCAGUCUGUGUGAGUAUUGUAAACCACCAAUUUCGAUUCCUAUUGAUAAUUUUUUUUCUUCUUC
rnacentral:lncRNA from 1 species